ACAUUACGGGAGGCAGCAGUGGGGAAUUUUGCGCUAUGGGGGAAACCCUGACGCAGCAACGCCGCGUGGAGGAUGAAGUCCCCUUGGGACGUAAACUCCUUUCGACCGGGACGAUAAUGACCGGUACCGGUGGAAGAAGCCCCGGCUAACUUCGUGCCGGCAGCCGCGGUAAUACGAGGGGGGCAAGCGUUGUUCGGAAUUAUUGGGCGUAAAGGGCGCGUAGGCGGUGCGGUAAGUCUCCGGUGAAAUCUCUGAGCUCAACUCAGAGCCUGCCGGGGAAACUGCCGUGCUGGAGUGUGGGAGAGGUAAGCGGAAUUCCUGGUGUAGCGGUGAAAUGCGUAGAUAUCAGGAGGAACACCUGCGGUGUAGACGGCUUACUGGACCAUAACUGACGCUGAGGCACGAAAGCGUGGGUAGCAAACAGGAUUAGAUACCCUGGUAGUCCACGCCCUAAACGAUGAAUACUUGGUGUCUGGAGUUAUUAGUGCUCCGGGUGCCGUCGCUAACGUUUUUAGUAUUCCGCCUGGGGAUGUACGCUCGCAAGAGUGACAACUCAGAAGGAAUUG
rnacentral:rRNA from 1 species